AGAGUUUGAUCCUGGCUCAGAUUGAACGCUGGCGGAACGCUUUACACAUGCAAGUCGAACGGUAACGCGGAGAGAAGCUUGCUUCUCUCCGGCGACGAGUGGCGAACGGGUGAGUAAUACAUCGGAACGUGUCCGCUCGUGGGGGACAACCAGCCGAAAGGUUGGCUAAUACCGCAUGAGUUCUACGGAAGAAAGAGGGGGACCCGCAAGGGCCUCUCGCGAGCGGAGCGGCCGAUGACUGAUUAGCCGGUUGGUGAGGUAACGGCUCACCAAAGCAACGAUCAGUAGCUGGUCUGAGAGGACGACCAGCCACACUGGGACUGAGACACGGCCCAGACUCCUACGGGAGGCAGCAGUGGGGAAUUUUGGACAAUGGGCGCAAGCCUGAUCCAGCUAUUCCGCGUGUGGGAUGAAGGCCCUCGGGUUGUAAACCACUUUUGUAGAGAACGAAAAGACACCUUUUAAAAAAGGGUGUUGCUGACGGUACUCUAAGAAUAAGCACCGGCUAACUACGUGCCAGCAGCCGCGGUAAUACGUAGGGUGCGAGCGUUAAUCGGAAUUACUGGGCGUAAAGGGUGCGCAGGCGGUUGAGUAAGACAGAUGUGAAAUCCCCGAGCUUAACUCGGGAAUGGCAUAUGUGACUGCUCGACUAGAGUGUGUCAGAGGGAGGUGGAAUUCCACGUGUAGCAGUGAAAUGCGUAGAUAUGUGGAAGAACACCGAUGGCGAAGGCAGCCUCCUGGGACAUAACUGACGCUCAGGCACGAAAGCGUGGGGAGCAAACAGGAUUAGAUACCCUGGUAGUCCACGCCCUAAACGAUGUUAACUAGUUGUUGGGAAGUAAAAUUCUCAGUAACGCAGCCAACGCGAGAAGUUAACCGCCUGGGAAGUACGGUCGCAAGACUAAAACUCAAAGGAAUUGACGGGGACCCGCACAAGCGGUGGAUGAUGUGGAUUAAUUCGAUGCAACGCGAAAAACCUUACCUACCCUUGACAUGUCAGGAAGCUCUUGUAAUGAGAGCGUGCCCGCAAGGGAGCCUGAAC
rnacentral:rRNA from 1 species